rnacentral:rRNA from 1 species
AACGAACGCUGGCGGCAGGCCUAACACAUGCAAGUCGAACGCUCCGCAAGGGGAGUGGCGCACGGGUGAGUAACACGUGGGAACCUACCUUCUGGUACGGAACAACCAAGGGGAAACUUUGGCUAAGACCGUAUACGACCUCCGGGUGAAAGAUUGAUCGCCGGAAGAGGGGCCCGCGUCCGAUUAGGUAGUUGGUGAGGUAACGGCUCACCAAGCCUUCGAUCGGUAGCUGGUCUGAGAGGAUGACCAGCCACACUGGGACUGAGACACGGCCCAGACUCCUACGGGAGGCAGCAGUGGGGGAAUAUUGGACAAUGGGCGCAAGCCUGAUCCAGCCAUGCCGCGUGAGUGAUGAAGGCCUUCGGGUUG